CAGCCGCCACGGUAAUACAGAGGGUGCUAGCGUUAAUCGGAUUUACUGGGCGUAAAGCGUGCGUAGGCGGCUUCUUAAGUCGGAUGUGAAAUCCCUGAGCUUAACUUAGGAAUUGCAUUCGAUACUGGGAAGCUAGAGUAUGGGAGAGGAUGGUAGAAUUCCAGGUGUAGCGGUGAAAUGCGUAGAGAUCUGGAGGAAUACCGAUGGCGAAGGCAGCCAUCUGGCCUAAUACUGACGCUGAGGUACGAAAGCAUGGGGAGCAAACAGGAUUAGAUACCCGGGUAGUCCCUGUCUCUUAUAC
rnacentral:rRNA from 1 species